CCUACGGGAGGCAGCAGCCGCGGUAAUAUUGGUCAAUGGAUGCAAGUCUGAACCAGCCAUGCCGCGUGCAGGAAGAAGGCCCUAUGGGUUGUAAACUGCUUUUGCCAGGGGAUAAAAUGGGCAUGCGUGCCUAAUUGAAGGUACCUGGUGAAUAAGCCACGGCUAACUACGUGCCAGCAGCCGCGGUAAU
rnacentral:rRNA from 1 species